rnacentral:rRNA from 1 species
UUCCAAGCAGAUUAUAAGGGUUCGAGUCCCUUUAUACGUACAUAAUAUUUGAUAAGUAGAAAAAAGUAUUCUGAAGAAAACUUGGGUUUAUCUACAUUUUAAGGUCACAUUAAUACUUUAUUGAGCCUAAGACUAUGAUAUAAAGUAGACCUCUUUAUUGGAAAACCAAUAUAUAAAUAAUGUAAAACCUUGUGAACUGAAACAUCUUAGUAACAAGAGGAAAAUAAAUCAAUAGAGAUUAGAUUAGUAGCGGUGAGCGAAAGUCUAUUAGCCUAAAAAGUUCAGUAUUUUUAUUACAAAUUAUAAAUGUUUGGAAUAACAUACAAUAUGAGGUGAAAGUCCAUUAUAAUUAGUAGUGCUGAACAUAGACAAGUAAAAUGAAUAAAUAAAUUUAUUUGAAUAAAGGAGUACCAAUCUUCUAAGGCUAAAUAUAUGAUAAACACCGAUAGUGAACAAGUAACGUGAGUGAAAGUUGAAAAAGAUCUCGACUAAAGAGGUAUUGAAAUAGAAAAUGAAUCAGAAUAUUGACAAGCACUAAAUCCUUUUUUUAUUAGGGGGUAUUAGGUACCUUUUGUAUAAUGGAUUUGCAAGUAAUUUAUAUUAGCAAGCUGAGAGGCGUAGGGAAACCGAGUAUUAAUAGUGCGAAAAUUUUAGUUAAUGUAAAUUAGACUCGAAACCAAGUGAUCUUAGCAUGAGCAGUUUGAAAAUAGAAGAAUAUUCUAUGGGAGGAACGAACCAUUGAUUGUUGCAAUAAUCUUGGAUGACUUAUGCUAAGUGGUGAAAUGCCAAUCGAACUUGGAUAUAGCUAGUUUUCUGCGAAAGAUAUUUAGGUAUCACGUCUAUUAAUUUAUUUAAUGAAGGUAAUGCUCUGUUUAGGUAUUUGGCCCUAUUUCGUAGGGUACUUUGCCUUUCUAACCAUGAUAAUAUCAUUAAAUGUAUUUAGACAGCCAGACUUAUGGCGCUAAGGUCAUAGGUCGAGAGUGAAACAACACAGAAUUAAAGUUAAGGUCGUUAAAUAUAUCUUAAGUGCGAAAGAUCAGUAUUUUUGCGAUGACAAUAGACUUGUGGGCUUAGAAACAGCCAUCAAUUAAAGAAAACGUAAUAGUUCAUCUAUCAAAAGCAAGAGUGCGUCGAAAAUCCAGGCGACUGAAAAGAUAUUACCGAAACUUAAUCUAGUUAAUAUUAGUAACUAGGGUAGCAGAACGUUUUAUUAAAAUUAAAAAUGAGCAAUCUAAAUAAAAGUGACAAUGCAAAUAUGAGUAACUUCAAUAAUAGUGAGAUACUAUUACGCCGUAAAUCCAAGGUUUUUCAAUUAAUAAUAAUUAAAUUGAACUGAAUCGGUCUCUAAUGUUAUAUAAAAUCUGAAAGGUGAUUAACAAAAGAGUACUUUUAUAUUGACUUCUCAUAAUUAUUGAGAACAGGAAAUAAAUAUAAAAAAUUAACCGUACUAAGACUGAACCAAGUGGAUAGAUAGAGUAUAUUAAGGCGAUGGGAGAAUUAUGGUUAGGGAACUCGGCAAAAUUUCUCUGUACGUUCGCAAGAAAGAGACCUAAUUUAUUAGGAGCAUAAAAUCGAGAGGAAGAACUGUUUACCAAAAACACAGCUUUUAGCCAAUGCAAUAGCAGAUGUAUUAGAAGUGACUCCUGCCCAAUGAUUGUUAUCUAAAGUCGUAUGUAAAUGCAUAUGAUAUAAGAGCAAUUUAAUGGCUGCAGUAACCCUGACUGUACAAAGGUAGCGCAAUCAAUAGCCAAUUAAUUGUUGGCAAGUAUGAAUGGAGUAAUCAUUCCUCUACUGUCCCAAUCAUAAUCCCAGUGAAAUUGAAUUAGUAGUUAAGAUGCUACAUAAUCGCUGCUGGACAAGAAGACCCUACGCAGUUUUACUGUUAUCAUAUAUAGUUUUAUAUCUAUUAUUAUUUAUAGAAUAAUUGGUAGUCAAUGAUCAUACUUCGCAAGGAGUGAUGUGAGACAAAAAGUGGAAUACCAAUAUUAAUAACGGAUAACUACUAAUCUUAUAAAAGAGACAUAUGUAUGAGAGACAGUUUUGUUGGGGCGAUAGCCUUUUAAAAAAUAACAAAGGUUUACAAUAGGUUUAUUCAUGAUACGUAGAAAGUAUCAAGAGAGCGCAAUAGCAUAAAUAAGCUUGACUGUGAGUACUUCCGAUAGGACGAGCAGGUUCGAAAGAAGGUUAUAGUGACCCACAGAUUUUGAAUGGAAAAGUCUGUGAUCAUAAGUUAAAUUACGCUAGGGAUAACAGAGUAAUUAAUUCGGAGAGUCCAUAUCGAUGAAUUAGCCUGCCACCUCGAUGUUGAAUGACUCUAUCCUGAUGGUUGUAGAAGCUAUCAAGGGUUGGACUGUUCGUCCACUAAUAGAGUACCUGAUUUGAGUUCAGAACGUUAACUAUACAAUAGCGUUAUACCCGAGUAAUCGGUGUAUUAGAACCAACUUAUAUCGGUGAAACCUAAGUUUUGAUAUAGAACUCAAUAUCUACAAAAUAUUGGUAAUACCGAGGGAAAAAUAAAUUUAUUCAAUGCAAAAAUAUAAAAAUUUUGAAAAUAACAUAAUUACUAAAGCUUAUUUAGCUGGUUUUAUUGAUGGAAAUGGAAGUCUGUAUGCUAGGAUUAUUCCUGUGGCUAAAUCUGAACUUAAAUUUAAAGUUUCUAUCAAUAUUUCUUUUUAUCAAUUAAAAAAACAUGUUUAUUUUAUUAAAGCAAUUCAAAAAUAUUAUUUUAAUAAAGGACAUUUAAGAACUAGAGGUAUCAUGUGUGAUUUAACUAUAUCUGACAUUGAUUCUGUAGAAAUGAUAAUAAAAGAUUUAAUACCUUAUUUACAUAUUAAAAAACCGCAGGCUAAAUACAUGCUUGAAAUAAUUAAAAAUGUUCGUUAUAUUCGUUCUAAAAAUUCUUCUUUCAUGGAGAAAAAAGCUACUUUCCUAGAGGUUUGUAUUUUAAUAGACAAAGUAGCUAAUUUAAAUAAUUCUAAAAAUAGAGUUUGAACAUAUCAAAAAGUAUUAGAUGAAUAUAAUAAGUAAAUUUAUUUACCUGUAGAGACUUAAAUAAGAUAAAUAAUUUUAUUUAGAUAGAUUAUAAUAAAACCCAUUAUAAUUUAUAAUACGUUGGCUCCUAUUUUAAUCAAUAGGAUGAAGAUAUAGUCCAUACUUGCUGAAAAGUAAGAAUAAUAUGUGUGAAACAGUUCGGCUUAUAUCCUCAGCGAUAUUCAUAUAACCUUAUAAGAUAAUCUCUUUUGUACGCAAGGAUCAAGAGGUUGGUUCCUCUGGUGUACCUGUUGUUGAAUUUUAUUUAGCAUAGCAGGAUAGCUACGAACUAAAGAAUAAAAACUGAAAGCAUCUCAAGUUUGAAGUCUUUCUUAAAUCAUGGUUAUCAUAUUUGACAAUAGACUAUUGU